CCUUCUAGGAAGUGAGGCUUGUGCACGUGACUUGCUUUGGCCAAUGGAAUUGGAAGUAUCAUGUGCAACUUCUGGCCAGAGGUUUUAAAAGACACUGGUUCUUUUCCAUUUUUCCUCUGCAAUAAACAUGGCUACAUCCAGAUAGAGCCUGGACGUUUAAAUGAAGACAUGGAGCACAGCUGCCAUCAACCCAUAGUGAAAAAACAGAGACUUUGAGCUUUGAGGCAGGCUGGAGUAAGAGAAGCAGACACUUUGAAGCCCUUUAGAAGCAAAAUAGCACAUAAAGUGAAGAAGUCACAGUGACUGCUGUCGUUCCGAAAGCGCAGACUGCAUUUCCAAAAGGAUUUGAUCUUGUCUGAGUUUAACCCGGAAGAUUACAAAUCUGUGUCACUGGCAAUACUAUUAAUUCCUAGAGAGUUUUACUAAUAUCUUUUCUCUAUCUUGUCUGCCUUAAAACUUUCCCCAAGGUACCGGGUGAACAGAAUUCUUUUCCUUUAUAAUUGUUGUAAUCUCCCAUUUUCUCACUGACCUCCCCUAUCCCCCCAAAACCUUUCUAAAUCUUCCUAAGUGGCAAAUUAAAGGAUUUGCCCCUGGUGCUGCCUCUGACCCUUUAGAAGCUGAAUGACAAUUGUUUCCUCUCUUUUCUUCCUGACUCCUCCCCUUAUCCCUGUCUUGGGAAGUUGAGCUUCUUCCAGUGAAGUCUUUCCCAUCAAUCCCAGGGACCUCCUCUGCUCUGUUUGUCUACAAUCAUGAGAUUGGGCAUUUCUUCAGAGUUUAAAAUCAGGCUUUGCAAUUUGACUUUUGGGGACUGGGAACAGAGUGUGGUAUGGGGAUAAUUUUUUAAUAAUGCCUUGGUCUCUUACCCAGAGAACUGUCAGCCAACCCCACUCUCCAAUCCCCAGGGGAAACUGCCAAUAUUACCAUAGGAAGGAUCAAUAGAGUUGCCUCAGCAACAGUAAUCAGCCAUGAAACCAUUUUUCCUGGCUGUUUGGAUACACUGAGUGGACUGGGAGCAGAGGUGUGUCCUUCCUGUCUUUCACGGAGUCCAUGGAUAUGAGUUGAUUGUAUUCACUGGAUCCAGUCCCCUGCAAUGGGCACUAGGUGAGGUCACAGCCUGAAGAGGAUCUGUGAGAAGCCUGAUUUCACUUGAGAUUUCCUAAGAGAGCCUUUGAAAUAUGCCGCCACAUCCUAAAAGUUUUCAAGAACAUUUGUCAGGAGCCAAAUUUCUAGGAGUCAGAAAUGUAUAUUUAACAGCCGACUCCACUCUGGUCAUUUGCUGAGAUCUGCACCCCUUGUUCUGGCAUAGAAAAGAAAAGAAUCAGUUGGAAUCAGGGUGGAAGAAUAAGACUUGGCUGUUAGCUGCAAAGACAAGGAGCAGGCAGAGUAGAUUGUGGGGUUUUUUUCCCCGCUCAUUGAUUCCAGCUUUAGCCCAGCACAAGUUUAUUUUUAAAAAUGUGGAUGCUCCAUUUUCAGAGAGUGAUCUAAAAAUAUAUGCCUGCAUGCCUGUGGCUGUAAUGUGUAUAUAAAUCCAAAGCCACAAAAGAAAGUGAUUAUAUUAUACUCAGGAGCUCAGAUGCAUUACAAAGCAGAACUGGAGGAGCCCUCCCUACCUUCCUCAUCAGGAAAGAACAUAUGUGCACAUUAUGUCCAUGUAUAUAUUUUCAGAGUGAGUUUCAUGAAUGAGUAAGAUAGGUUUUCUAUGCAGAGUAAUUUAAGGACACCAAGAAAGGCUGUUUUUCAAGUAUGAUGCCAUAUUGGCCCUCUAUGCUGUCUAAAAUGACACCCUUGGCAAAAAUAAAACUAUAAGAAUGAAAGCAAACGUUGAUUAGGGGUGCUGUUUCCACAUGUUAGGCAUCAUGCUUAGUCUUUUCAGGUUUCACUCCCUUUACUCCACAUUAGAACAAAGUAAAUCAGGUACUGAUAUUAUUAUGAUGUAACAGAUGAAGAAACUGAAGUUAAUGAGAUUGAGUAAGUUGUCCAAAGCCAUGCCCAGAAGGAAAAUGUUUUCUGAUUCCACAACCCAUGUCGUUAACAACCACAUGAUGAGAGGCAGUGUGCACGGUGGUUAAGAAUGGGCCCAGCUUCUAGCGCCAGGCUGCCUGGAUUUGAAACUGAAGUCUGCCUAAUACCAGCUUUUUCAUUAUAAGCAAGCUAUUUAACCUCUCUGUGCCUCAGUUUCCUUCUCGGUAAAAAAUAAGGAUAAUAAUUUGACUCUUAGAGUUGCUGAAAGGAAUCAAUAGGUUAAUUGAUGUAAAGCUCUUAGAGAAUGAAAGUCAUCAGGGACUGGCAAAGUUUUACUUUUUGCAUUGCACGGCCACCCAAAGCCUAUACUGCAUAGUGAAUGUGUUUUCUUUUACAAACGAGUAGAGUACUAAAAGCUACAGACUCAGACAAUCUGCUGUUGAGGCUCAGAAAAGCCAAUACUCCAAAAUGAAAGUCUCAUAAGCAAAAUUUCUCUUGGAACUUCUGCCCUCCUGUCUCUCGCCUCUUAUUCUCUCCUGAGGAAUAGUAAUUAGAAUACCUCUUCCCCAGGAUGGGUCAGAGAAACCAGAACCCCUUUCCCCCAAAGCCAGUUAGAAAGCCUGAAAAUAUUACUCUAACCUUCCCUCAUCUUUCUGUGUAACAGCAGGCCAUUAAGAAAUUGAGACCUUUAUUCCAGAGAAGUCCUAUCCCAUACCUGGGAGGAAAAAAAAUAAAAAGCUACAACAGAGAGGCCAAGAAGAAUCUGGACAGACAGGCCUUGGUGGGUUUCCUCACUCAACUACCAUUAGCUCAUAACCUUUUUGUCCAAUCGCAUUUCUACAUGACUGUCCUGGCUUCAUUGAACCUAAGCAUAAAAUCAUACAGCUUCUCCUGUAUCUUUGGGUCUUCAAUCUGAAAGCCAUUGUUGAAUAAAAGUCUAAUCAAAUAAAUUUGUUAUCCAUUUCUCUUGUUAAACUGUCUUUUGUUAUAAGAGUGUCAGCUGCAACUUUAAUGAUGGGAAGGAAAGGGAUAAUCCUCUUUCUGCC
rnacentral:lncRNA from 10 species